rnacentral:rRNA from 1 species
UACAUAGGGGGCGAGCGUUAUCCGGAAUUAUUGGGCGUAAAGGGUACGUAGGCGGGCCUGCAAGUCUGAUUUGAAAGCACACGGCUUAACCGUGUGAGGUAAUUAGAAACUACGAGUCUAGAGAGUGGUAGAGGUAAAUGGAAUUCCAAGUGGAGCGGUGAAAUGCGUAGAGAUUUGGAGGAACACCAGUGGCGAAGGCGGUUUACUGGGCCACAUCUGACGCUGAUGUACGAAAGCGUGGGUAGCAAACAGGAUUAGAUACCCGGGUAGUCCCUGAG